rnacentral:rRNA from 1 species
CAGUAGCCGCGGGAAUACCGAGGAUGCAAGCGUUAUCCGGAAUGAUUGGGCGUAAAGCGUCUGUAGGUGGCUUUUCAAGUCCGCCGUCAAAUCCCAGGGCUCAACCCUGGACAGGCGGCGGAAACUACCAAGAUGGAGUACGGUAGGGGCAGAGGGAAUUUCCGGUGGAGCGGUGAAAUGCGUUGAGAUCGGAAAGAACACCAACGGUGAAAGCACUCUGCUGGGCCGACACUGACACUGAGAGACGAAAGUUAGGGGAGAAAAUGGGAUUAGAUACCCCGGUAGUCCCUGUCUCUUAUAC